CCUACGGGGGGCUGCAGUGAGGAAUAUUGGUCAAUGGGCGGGAGCCUGAACCAGCCAAGUCGCGUGAGGGAAGACGGUCCUAUGGAUUGUAAACCUCUUUAGGCGGGGAGCAAUGCCGGGCACGUGUGCCCGGAGGGAGAGUACCCGCAGAAUAAGCAUCGGCUAACUCCGUGCCAGCAGCCGCGGUAAUACGGAGGAUGCGAGCGUUAUCCGGAUUUAUUGGGUUUAAAGGGUGUGAAGGCGGAUUUUUAAGUCAGCGGUAAAAUGUCCGGGCUCAACCCGGGCCGGCCGUUGAAACUGGGGAGCUUGAGUGGGCGAGAAGUAUGCGGAAUGCGUGGUGUAGCGGUGAAAUGCAUAGAUAUCACGCAGAACUCCGAUUGCGAAGGCAGCAUACCGGCGCCCGACUGACGCUGAGGCACGAAAGUGUGGGGAUCGAACAGGAUUAGAUACCCGAGUAGUC
rnacentral:rRNA from 1 species